rnacentral:lncRNA from 1 species
UCUUCCCAAGUUCAACAAAAUUCAAAAUGUAUAGUGAUCAACAAUGCGUUAAAUAAUAUAAAACAACUAUAGUGAUCUGCAAUGUAUUAAAUAAUGUGUUAAAUAAUGUAAAACAACUAGAUAUGAAGCAACAGUUAUCUAAAACUUAAGCUGAUAGAGAAUGGUGUCUUGGCUCGAGUCUUUUUAAAAUAGGAGAAAUCGAUUAUGCUAUAAGCCUAGCGUGAAAUAACAUGUUAAAUUAUAUGAAAUGACUGUUAUUUUAUAAAAAUUUAAGUCAGUAGAGAAUAUUAUUUUUAUAUUUCUAUAUUUAUUUAACGUAA